GAUGAACGCUGGCGGCGUGCUUAACACAUGCAAGUCGAACGGUGAAAGCGGAGCUUGCUCCGCUGGAUCAGUGGCGAACGGGUGAGUAACACGUGAGCAAUCUGCCCCUGACUCUGGGAUAAGCGCUGGAAACGGCGUCUAAUACCGGAUACGAGCUGCGAAGGCAUCUUCAGCAGCUGGAAAGAACUUCGGUCAGGGAUGAGCUCGCGGCCUAUCAGCUAGUUGGUGAGGUAACGGCUCACCAAGGCGUCGACGGGUAGCCGGCCUGAGAGGGUGACCGGCCACACUGGGACUGAGACACGGCCCAGAGUCCUACGGGAGGCAGGAGUGGGGAAGAUUGCGCAAUGGGCGGAAGCCUGAUGCAGGAACGCCGCGUGAGGGACGACGGCCUUCGGGUUGUAAACCUCUUUUAGCAGGGAAGAAGCGAAAGUGACGGUACCUGCAGAAAAAGCGCCGGCUAACUACGUGCCAGCAGCCGCGGUAAGAC
rnacentral:rRNA from 1 species